CAGUGAUAAACUGGAGGAAGGUGGGGAUGACGUCAAGUCAUCAUGGCCCUUACGACCAGGGCUACACACGUGCUACAAUGGCGCAUACAAAGAGAAGCGACCUCGCGAGAGCAAGCGGACCUCAUAAAGUGCGUCGUAGUCCGGAUUGGAGUCUGCAACUCGACUCCAUGAAGUCGGAAUCGCUAGUAAUCGUGGAUCAGAAUGCCACGGUGAAUACGUUCCCGGGCCUUGUACACACCGCCCGUCACACCAUGGGAGUGGGUUGCAAAAGAAGUAGGUAGCUUAACCUUCGGGAGGGCGCUUACCACUUUGUGAUUCAUGACUGGGGUGAAGUCGUAACA
rnacentral:rRNA from 5 species